ACACCUCAACUCUCAUGGUUUGCCAUGAUGAGCUUGGACUUUGGGGGUCUUGCUGGCCUAUGGUCGGCUCCUCUCAAAUGAAUCAGCUUACCAGUGUUUGGUGGCGUCACAGGUGUGAUAACUAUCUACGCUUGUGGCUUUCCAUCAGGUAACCUUCAGUGAUGGAGGUUUGCUGGGGGCUCAUAAAUGUCUCUCCUCGGUGAGGACAGCUUUUUGAAC
rnacentral:misc_RNA from 2 species